rnacentral:lncRNA from 1 species
CCUCAGGUCAAAGGACUACUUUGCAUAUUGCAACUUUCGAGUUCUUACAUGACAUGUAUGUUCGAACUCAUUUUUUAUCGUUGUUCAGUGUACUCGAUUAGUCUUUCGAGCACCUAUGUGUUUGUCUUAGUGUCCAACACCAAAUGACUUGAGACUAGUCAUACUCACGUUUGAGUUAACAUAACACAUACUAGCCUUAACGGAUUGUCAAUGCCCAAUCGGCAAUCCUAUGGCUAGGAACGUUUUAGGAAUGAACAUAAGAGAAUGGUCUCGAUAAUCUAACUCACUUAGAUCACUUGUCUUUUAGAUCAAAUACAUCCCUAGGAUUCCCUUAUUGUUUAAACACAAGAUACAAUAAAUAGUGAUUAACAAUAAGCUUUACCCUUCAUUAAACAUAUAAAAGUUUAAUACAUUAAGUAUUCCAAAAAGCUAUUACAUCAAAUGAGUG